rnacentral:piRNA from 1 species
UCCACAUAGGGAGCGGUGGUCCAGUCAAGU